rnacentral:rRNA from 1 species
CCCUUAGAGUUUGAUCAUGGCUCAGAGCGAACGCUGGCGGCAGGCUUAACACAUGCAAGUCGAGCGGGCAUAGCAAUAUGUCAGCGGCAGACGGGUGAGUAACGCGUGGGAACGUACCUUUUGGUUCGGAACAACACAGGGAAACUUGUGCUAAUACCGGAUAAGCCCUUACGGGGAAAGAUUUAUCGCCGAAAGAUCGGCCCGCGUCUGAUUAGCUAGUUGGUGAGGUAAUGGCUCACCAAGGCGACGAUCAGUAGCUGGUCUGAGAGGAUGAUCAGCCACAUUGGGACUGAGACACGGCCCAAACUCCUACGGGAGGCAGCAGUGGGGAAUAUUGGACAAUGGGCGCAAGCCUGAUCCAGCCAUGCCGCGUGAGUGAUGAAGGCCCUAGGGUUGUAAAGCUCUUUUGUGCGGGAAGAUAAUGACGGUACCGCAAGAAUAAGCCCCGGCUAACUUCGUGCCAGCAGCCGCGGUAAUACGAAGGGGGCUAGCGUUGCUCGGAAUCACUGGGCGUAAAGGGUGCGUAGGCGGGUCUUUAAGUCAGGGGUGAAAUCCUGGAGCUCAACUCCAGGACUGCCUUUGAUACUGAAGAUCUUGAGUUCGGGAGAGGUGAGUGGAACUGCGAGUGUAGAGGUGAAAUUCGUAGAUAUUCGCAAGAACACCAGUGGCGAAGGCGGCUCACUGGCCCGAUACUGACGCUGAGGCACGAAAGCGUGGGGAGCAAACAGGAUUAGAUACCCUGGUAGUCCACGCCG